rnacentral:rRNA from 1 species
CUAACAGGAUUCCCCUAGUAACUGCGAGUGAAGCGGGAAAAGCUCAAAUUUAAAAUCUGGUGGUCUUUGGCCAUCCGAGUUGUAAUUUAGAGAAGCGUCUUCCGCGCUGGGCCGUGCACAAGUCUCCUGGAAUGGAGCGUCACAGAGGGUGAGAAUCCCGUCUUUGGCAUGGACACACCAGGGCUUUUGCGAUGCGCUCUCGAAGAGUCGAGUUGUUUGGGAAUGCAGCUCAAAAUGGGUGGUGAACUCCAUCUAAAGCUAAAUAUUGGCGAGAGACCGAUAGCGAACAAGUACCGUGAGGGAAAGAUGAAAAGCACUUUGGAAAGAGAGUGAAACAGUACGUGAAAUUGUUGAAAGGGAAACGCUUGAAGUCAGUCGCGUCGACCGAGACUCAGCCUUGCCUUGGCUUGGUGUACUUCUCGGCCGACGGGUCAGCAUCAAUUUCGCCCCUUGGAUAAUGAUGGGGGAAAUGUGACACCUUUACGGUGUGUUAUAGUCUCUUGUCGCAUGCAAGGGUCGGGAUUGAGGAACUCAGCACGCACCUUUGGGUGUCGGGGCCUUUGCCCACGAUACGUGCUUAGGAUGUUGGCGUAAUGGCUUUAAACGACCCGUCUUGAAACACGGACCAAGGAGUCUAACAUGCCUGCGAGUGUUCGGGUGGAAAACCCGUGCGCGUAAUGAAAGUGAAAGUUGGGACCUCUGUCGUGGAGGGCACCGACGCCCGGACCAGACCUUCUGUGACGGCUCUGCGGUAAAGCAUGUAUGUUAGGACCCGAAAGAUGGUGAACUAUGCCUGAAUAGGGUGAAGCCAGAGGAAACUCUGGUGGAGGCUCGUAGCGAUUCUGACGUGCAAAUCGAUCGUCAAAUUUGGGUAUAGGGGCGAAAGACUAAUCGAACCAUCUAGUAGCUGG